AAGUGCGUCAGAGAAGGAGAAUUCCCUGCAUGGGGUGCAGGUGGUCGGAGGUUCAAAUCCUCUCGCCCCGACCA
rnacentral:tRNA from 1 species